rnacentral:rRNA from 1 species
AUGUACAAGCUCGGCGGCGGCCGUGGCGCCGCCGCGGCCUCGGCGGCGGCCGCCGCCCAGGCAGCCGGGCGCGAGGAGUCCUUCAGCCUCGAGUCCAGCAGCCCGCCCGCCUUCGCGGCAAUCAUAAGGCUCACCCCCGACCUCGUCGACGAGAUCCGGCGGGCGGAGGAGGCCGGUGGCGGCGCCCGCAUCAUGUUCAACUCCAGCAUCAACCCCGCGGAGAACGUUAUCGAUGUUGAUGGUAAAGAAUUCAAUUUUGCCUGGGCAUCCGAACGGGGUGAGUUAUGUGAUAUUUACGAAGAACAACAGAGCGGAGAGGGUGGAAAUGGCUUGCUUGUGGAACGUGGAUCUGCUUGGCGCAAGGUGACCGUGGACCGCACUUUGGAUGAAUCAGCAAAGAACCUUGUGAAAGCGCGCUCAGAGGAGGCUGAACGUCUCGCGAAAUCUCGAAAAUCAAUUGUGCUGGACCCUGGGAAUCCAUCUGUCAGGAAUCAGGCCAAGUCAAUGGUUGCAGCCGGAGAAGGUAAUAUGCGGAGGGGGAAAUGGAACCAGAAGAAGGACAAUUUCAAUAAGAAGCAAGCUACUGUCAUUCCAACCAAAUCAAUUUCUAAAGUAAAGCUGCCUAACAGUAUUCCCAAAGGAAGUAUCUCGGCUUCACCUGUGCCUUCUCCUGAGCAACCUGGACCAAGCAUUCAUUCAUUUCCUGUUGGGUCAGAUGCAAAUAAUGAAGUCAUAGUACCUUUUGAUUUGAAUAAAGAGGAAAACAGUAAAUUUGAGAAAGCAACACCAAAUAGGAUCUCUCGAGGACUAAAUCAUGGGGUUUCUGCAAGUGUUGAGGAUAAUACAACUGAUUUGCGAAGCCUGCUGAUAUCUACACUCUCAGAAAAUCCAAAAGGAAUGAAUCUAAAGGCCUUGGAGAAAGCUGUUGCAGAUGCAAUUCCAAAUGCUUCAAAGAAAAUAGAGCAUAUCCUUAAGAAUGUUGCAGAUUGCCAGUCAUCAGGGAGGUAUUUGCUGAAACCUGAACUGGAAGUAGAAAACUCUAAUCAUGCAUCUGGCAGUGGAAGGACUAUCGAUGAGAACAUCGAAGAAAUUGCUCCAAGCUUAAGCAUAGAUGAUCCUGAUAUUGAGAAGAUUGAAAUUGGGGGCUCCCCGGUUUCAGCUGCAGGAGACAAAAAGGUCAAUGACAGUGAUGGCAAAGCAGGUAGCUCUAGUGAGAGUGGAAGUGAUAGUGACAGCGACAGUGACAGUAGUGGGAGUGAAAGUGAUAGUGGCAGUCAGAGUAGAAGUGCUGGAAGUGGCAGUGGGAGCAGCAGCGACAGCGAUAGUGAUGCUUCAUCAAGCAGCAAGGAAGGAUCUGAUGCAUUUGUGGAUAUUACAAGUGAUGAUAACAAGCCAGAUACAGCACGUAGGAAAGUAGCAGAUGAACUGAAGUUGUCUUCCUCGCCAAGAGAUUUUCCAACAUUUGAUGGCGAUGAUGAGCAAAUUGAUAUUGGAACAAAUCUGGAUUAUAAGAGCACAUCAUCACACAUUGAUCUGAAUAAUUUGAAUGUCGACAAUGAUGAGCCGGCAUAUGCCGCUACAGCAACUGAGAAAUUCGGUGCAAGCGAUGUAGACAUGCCAUCAGAAUUUCCAGGAAGCGAAAACAUGGUGAGUACCAGGUUAGAUCCAAGUAUAGUUGAUGGCGAGUAUCCUGCAAACAAAAUGUCUUAUGAGGACAAUCAUUUUGAUGACCCCUUAGUAGCGAGUAGUGAGAACUUACCUAAUGAAGAAGCUAUUCAGUUCACGGAGCAGCAUGGUAGCAGAAGAAAGUCAACCUCAAAGGAUGGAACAAACCAUGUGCCCACAAGAAUAUCAGAGAUAGGUGCCAAACCCACCUUGAAAAGGUUUCCGGGUAAUGAGAAUGCUAUUACAAAGCCAGAAAGUGCCAAAAAGGCCAAGGUUGACUUUGCCUAUUCAGGAGCUACAGGUUCUUUAUCAGCACAGAGACAGAACUUGCCUCCUGACAAACAUAUCAAUGAGAGGUCAAGCAAGGAGACAGGGAAUGUUGGAUGGGACACACAUACUGAGCUACAGGUACAAGAUAUUAGUCCUAUGGAAGGAAGGCCUGUGACUCCUGGAGAUCUACAAAAGAUAAAUCAGAGCCAAAAUCUGCCCAUCCCAACUCACUCUGAGGGAAAACAAGAAAAGAUCACGAAAACAAGCUCUAAGAAGAAAUUAGAUAAGGUGCAGAAACCUUUGAAUAGUAUGGAUGGCAGCCCUGGGAAUGUUAAUUUUGAUAACACUGAUGAUUCUGCUGCAAGAAAAAGGGGUAGGCAUGGGGGAUCUUCUCUUGAUGGGAAAAAGCACAAGCGCUCAAAGGAUCCUAAUAUUGAUACAAAUCCCAUGAAUUUGACAAAAGGUGUCAGAGGAAAUGUUAACCACAACAUGAUGAUGUCUCUUCCUGAAUGCACUGAAACUAAUGGCAAGCCACCAAUUUUGCAAAGAAACAGUGCUGAGAAAUCAUCUCCAAAAAAGGUGCUCCAGAGAGAGCAUUCUGAUCUCGAGUUGGGUGAACUUCGUGAAUUACCUUCGGAAAAUGACAACGGGAGGACAAGGAAACAACUUGAGAGAAAUAGUUCUUCUAAGUCGCUUGAUGGUAAAGCAACUAAUGUAGAUAAUUUCUACCCCAAUAUGAAUACCAGGAAGGUUGCCCUAUCUGCUUCCCAUGAUCAGAGGAAACCAUCACCGCAAGAAUUUAAUUCUGGAGGUAAUAUAAACCAGGAAGGAUUCCCAAGGAAGACCGCCGGAUACGACACUGAUAAUAAUAGGUCUCAGCAUAGAGGAAAUGUUUCACAGGGUCGGCAAUUGCCAAGGACUGAUGAUUCAGAUUCAGAGAACGUAUUAUACCCAGACAGGUCGGUAGAGAAAACAGGCAAAAGAGAAACAAAAUUGGCACAGGGUGGAAUGCUAGAUCAUGUAGAUAGGAAGAAGACUACUCCCAAGCUUCCUCAGAAUGGUACCAAGAAUGGCAUAGAGUGUAGAACACGGAAAUCAAUUUCCCCUGCAGAAAAUGAGGAAAGAAGUAGGAAUAACUCUUUGAUAGAGACUGAGACAGGUAGGAAGAGAAGAGACAGUUCUUCGGAAGAAGACAAUCUAUUCUUUAAGAAGUACGAUAAAGCUAAGCCAGAACUGAAAGGUCCAAUAAAAGAUUUUUCACAAUACGAAGAUUAUUUGCAGGAGUACAAUGAGAAAUAUAAGGUCUACUCUUACUUGAACAGUCAGAUAGAGAAAACACAGUCUGAGUUCCUAAAGGUUCAGGAGGAUUUCAAUGUUGCUAAAGAAAGAGACAAGGAUAAGUACUAUUACAUUGUUGACAGACUCAGAGACAUGUACCAUGAAUCGGGCACAAGGCAUAAAUUGAUGAAGAAGGUCUUCGUAUUGCUUCAUGAAGAAUUGCAGAGUAUCAAGCAAAGAAUGAAGGACUUCGCAAAGGACUAUUCAAAGGAAUAA